UGUUUGACGGUACCUAUAAAGGGAGCACCGGCUAACUCCGUGCCAGCAGCCGCGGUAAUACGGGGGGUGCAAGCGUUGUUCGGAAUUAUUGGGCGUAAAGCGCGUGUAGGCGGUCUGAUUAGUCUGAUGUGAAAGCCCUGGGCUCAACCCAGGAAGUGCAUUGGAUACUGUCAGACUUGAAUACGGGAGAGGGUAGUGGAAUUCCUAGUGUAGGAGUGAAAUCCGUAGAUAUUAGGAGGAACACCGGUGGCGAAGGCGGCUACCUGGACCGAUAUUGACGCUGAGACGCGAAAGCGUGGGUAGCAAACAGGAUUAGAUACCCUGGUAGUCCACGCCGUAAACGAUGAGAACUAGGUGUCGCGGGUA
rnacentral:rRNA from 1 species